AAAAAGAGGAUUGAAUAGAUCUCUAAAUAUUAAAAAUGGACCCUCAAAGCAAUGUGUACAAGAUACACGAUUUUUAGUUGCUGAAAAACUCAAAGGCAAAUAGAUUUCUAAACACUUAAAAAUGGACCUCAAGGCAAUAUGUAAACAGAUGCACUAUUUUUAGUUGCUGAAAAAUCAAAGGCCAGAGAGAGAACAUAAGCUGUAAACAAAGAGCAAAAAGCAUUCAACUGAGGAAAAUAGGAAAAAAAAAAAAAAGGACAAAUCACAUGUUCCAUGUGCUUGAAAAAAAUCAAUAUUUUGAGAUUAAACAAGGGUCAUCCAAUUUUUGUAGGGCAAGAUCUAAGGACUCAAAAUUUACUCUUUUCUUCUUUUUUCUUUUUUUUUUGUGAAAAUAACAGUCUACUUGUUCUUAGUU
rnacentral:lncRNA from 1 species